rnacentral:rRNA from 1 species
UACGUAGGGGGCAAGCGUUGUCCGGAAUUAUUGGGCGUAACGAGCGUGUAGGCGGUCCGGUAAGUCAGCUGUGAAAGUCAAGGGCUCAACCCUUGAAUGCCGGUUGAUACUGUCGGGCUAGAGUCCGGAAGAGGCGAGUGGAAUUCCCGGUGUAGCGGUGAAAUGCGCAGAUAUCGGGAGGAACACCAAUGGCGAAGGCAGCUCGCUGGGACGGUACUGACGCUGAGACGCGAAAGCGUGGGGAGCAAACAGG